rnacentral:rRNA from 1 species
AGUUCCUUGGAACAGGACGUCAUAGAGGGUGAGAAUCCCGUAUGCGGUCGGAAAGGCGCUCUACACGUAGCUCCUUCGACGAGUCGAGUUGUUUGGGAAUGCAGCUCUAAAUGGGAGGUAAAUUUCUUCUAAAGCUAAAUAUUGGCCAGAGACCGAUAGCGCACAAGUAGAGUGAUCGAAAGAUGAAAAGCACUUUGGAAAGAGAGUUAAAA